rnacentral:lncRNA from 1 species
AGGCGGGCGCGGAGCCGCGCGGAGUGACAAAGCCGCCGCUGCCGCCGCCGGGGGUGGGAGCCGCGCUCGCCCGCCCGCCCCUCGACUCGCGAGGGCGUAAAAGUUUGUCUCAGCUCGAGCAUUCCUAGCGCCAACACGCCCUCAGGUAAAGGUGGAAGUAAAUGGCCACGCUGUAUUGACAGAGGUAGAUGAAACUCAAGAGAAAAGGUGUGGAUAAAUGAAACUAGCCCAUGAUGAACCUGUUUUCUCCGUGACCACAAUAUUAACCAGGAUGAAUGGCGGUGGCAGUGGGCCUGCAUCACAGGUUGCAGCAGAUGUUCUCAAUAUUUCUAUUAAAAUUUCCUUAUUUCCAUAUGCAAGAGGAGCCCCAGAGCUGCAUCCUUAUGGUAGCUACCAUGCCGUGAUGUAAGCUGCCAUUCACUGGGGAGCUUUGGCAAUAGAAUUGGCUAGAUCAGGAAGCCUAUGUCAACUAUGGAACAACAACUUGCAGCUCAUCUCUAUUGAUGAUACACUGCCUCUAGGACUGGGACAGAUAGCCACUGAGUACCUGCUUCAAAUCACCCUGCACGUUUUCUCUUUGGAAAGAUAAGCACUGGAGAACCAUCUCGUUACCUUCAGCAGAAAUGGAAACAAAUCAAGACAUUAAGAAUGCCGCAGUGGACAGCAGUUAUGCAAGGUUCAGCAGAGGAAGUUUUCAAGAUGGUGUGCCUCACUAGCCAGAAAUCAGAAAAGAUCGAAGCUAGCCUUUUCAUCUCAGCUGCUCCUUAAAUCAGUGCAACCCCUCCAAAUUAAUGUGAAUUGAAACUUGCAUUGCUUUUCAACUUAAUUGAAUACUUACUAUAUGUGAACCACUGCACAAAAUAGGGGAAGAAGAUGUGGGAGACAAAGAUGUGGAGCCUGUCUUCAAUAAAUUUACAGUUAGUUUCAGGGUACAUUGUUUUUCUUCUGCUGUUAAUUAGGUGUAUCCCCAAGACAAUAAAUACAUGAAUGGAAAAGUAUAUUCUGUGUUUUAAGUCUCUUUAAUAAAAAACAAAACAAAAUCCAAAAAAACUCCUAACAUGGCAACUCAGGACAUUUUAAUCCUUUUUUUUGUUGUUGGGCUUCUGAUAGGAUCCAUUUUAUUGAUUCCAUAAAUAUUUAGUAGACUUUAGACAUAUUAAUACAUUGUAGUUUGAGUUAAUUUGCAUUAAAUUCUGUUUUUUUCCCCUUAGGUAUAGAUUGUCUGUUGGAAAAAUAUAUUGCUUGUGGAUUUCUUGGGGAGUGGGAAGGUGAAUUAUACCUGUUGUCUCUACAGUCCACUACCUUCCACACCCUAGGGCAGUGGUCCCCAACCUUCUUGGCACCAGGGAUCAGUUUCCUGGAAGACAAUUUUUCUGUGGAUGGUGUGGGGAUGGUUUUGGGAUGGAACUGUUCCACCUCAGAUCAUCAGGCAUUAGUUAGGCUCUCAUAACGAGUGCGCAGCCUAGAUCCCUCACAUGCACAGUUCACAGUAGGGUUUGCGCUGCUAUGAGAAUCUAAGGCUGCCACUGAUCUGACAGGAGGCAGAACUCAGGUGGCAAUGCUUACUGGCCCACUGCUCACCUCUUGCUGUGCGGCCUGGUUCCUAAUAGGCCAUGGACCCCCACAGACGGGUACUAGUCUGCAGCCUGUGGACCCCAGCCCUAGGGGCCUGCCAUUCUGAGUGAGUUAUUAGCAUGAAGAAGAGGAAGAUCUGGAUCAAACGUGGGUGAUGGUACUCAGAGACCCAAGAUAGGAUAGGGAUGGAACAAAAUCCAUCUGGGCAACGGCUCUAUGAAAAUUUGGCUAAGUAAUUAUUUCAGUAUUCAUUGUAUUCAUUGUCCUUCGUGUUCCAUAAGUUAAAUGACUGUCUAAUUUUUCCAAAAAUUUAUUUCUGACUUGAGAAUAAGUGUGUCAUGAUUUUCCCAGUGUAAAGACACUGAUAUAACUGUAGAUACCAGACAUUUUAUGUAGUGUCUAUGACACAUUUUAGUAUGUAUGAGCCAACAAUAGACAUGUCUUUGUCUUGAGGAGUGUCCAUCUGAAUUGAAAAUGUGUCAGCUUUUUUUUAACAUCAUCAACAGACUUCUUAAUUAAGCUGCCAAUACAUACUGCCAAUAGCACUGUGUGCUGUCUGAGAAAUGCAUUGUGUAAGUGCUAUUUCCAUCUUAUUAAAUAAACAAUGUUGCUCUGUAUAAACUGGAUUUAAAGUGUUCUUUGAAUGAGGCAUUAUAUUGCUCCAUAAAUAAUGUGAUGUGAAUUCUCAUAUGAUCCCUUUUAACUUAAUUUCUAAAAAAAUAUUAUUUGCUCCUCAGUAAGGAAUAGCUCUAAUUGGACUGGUAACUUUAGUGAUAUGAUUUGUCUGUAACAGGCUGAAUCGCCCCACUCCCAAACUCCUGGUCGUGAUACUGGAUAUUUGUUAUGCCACUUUUAGUUUGCAUGAGGUAUCUUCCAGGAAGUAUUAGUUAUUAACUUGUGUUCUACUAAACUGUAGAUAUUUAUUUCCUGUUCUGGAAGAUUUCUUGGAGUGUCCAUCUGUGCAUUCCUGGUGCCUAGUGUAGUCUUGCUAAUGGAAUAGCACCUUUAUUGGUGCUACUUAGGGGUUGGUAGCUUACAAUCAAUCUACUUGGAACGUAUCCAAAUAAACUGGAU